GCUGUGAAGGUUGGAGCGCAGUACUUGAGAUGGGAUGUGUAGGACCACAAAUGGACCUCUGGGUUUUGGGAAUGGGGCCCCAUGACCUGACGGGGACCUGCGAAGGUUUGGAACCCUCUGUCUGGGUAUCUCCCUCUGUCAGUCUGUCUGUGUCCAUGUGGGUACUCUAGACCAGGGCUGCCCAACCCUCUUCCUGGAGAUCUACUGUCCAGUAAGUUUUCAGUCCAACCCUCUUCCUGGAGACCUACUGUCCUGUAGGUUUUCAGGCCAACCCUCUUCCUGGAGACCUACUGUCCUGUAGGUUUUCAGGCCAACCCUCUUCCUGGAGACCUACUGUCCUGUAGGUUUUCAGUCCAACCCUCUUCCUGGAGAUCUACUGUCAUGUAGCUAAUUAGUAGAAUCAGGUGUGUUAAAUUAGGGUUGGACUGAAAACCUAUAGGACAGUAGAUCUCCAGGAAGAGGAUUGGACUGAAAACCUACAGGACAGUAGAUCUCCAGGAAGAGGGUUGGUCAGCCCUGGUAUAGAGUAAAGAUCCCUCUGUUUUUGCAGUGAGAAUAAGCUCCUCCUUGUCAGCAUGGUAAGCUCGACCGGAGCCCGCCUGUCAUUGGUGGAGGCUGAAGGUGGAAGGUCAUUUAACUGCACAGCCUCGCAUUUGACCUCCUCACACCCUUCUGAAGUGGAGGAUCUUGGGAUACUUAGGCUGUAAAGCCUGAAAGGUGAUUUAAGGACAGUUGCUAAUGUUACUCCACUGUUGCCUAGUGGAUACUGAGAAUUGGGCAGCUUGCUUCAUGCUCACUCACCCUUCAGUAUUUAAAUGGGUGAAUGGUUUUCAGAGAGGCAUAGCACUUACAGUGAAAUGCACAGCGUAACACUUAAGAGGGAAAUGACCACGUUCAACCGACGCUGCCUUUUAAACUUUGAACUCAAAAUGUGUUUUUUUUUUGGAAUUCAUCUCAAACCCUUUAUGAAAUGUAUUUUAUAUAAUAUUUAAAGUCUUUUUUGUUAUUGUGUAUUUUUUUCUUUACAGUUAUUAUUAUGAAAUAUUUUUAUACUGUGGCGAUUGAAGCUUGUCUGGCACCUCAGGGAUGCAAUCCUAGGUGUAUGUCCAAAAUGGCACCCUAUUUGUUUUAUAGUGCACUACUUCUGGCUAGAGCUCUGGUCAAAGGUGGUGCACUACAUAGGGAAUAGGGUGCCAUUUUGGACAGAACCCCUAGUGUUUCUGUGUAUAGUCGUUUCUAUUUGCUUCCUAAGAAGGGGAUCAGGGCCUGUAUUUAGCAAGUGUCUCAAGAGUAUGAGUGCUGAUCUAGGAUCAGGUUACCCCUCCCCCUGUCCAUGUAAUCUUGUUCAUUAUGAUCUAAAAGGCUAAACUGAUCCUAGACCAGGACUCUUACUCUGAGACUUUAUGAAUUCAGGCCCAGUAUAAUGUUCUAGAUGUGUCAGCAUAAAAUAUAUAUAUAUAUAAAAAAAAAUACAAUGUAAACUCAGAGGUCAAGUGAUUUAAUAAGCUUGUUUUUUACAUGUUAUAAUAUUCACAGUGCAGUGCCUUACCUGGCAACAAGGAUGUAUAUUGGUGGAAAAGAAAAGCCCAGUCACCUGAGUCAACCAAUCAUUCUGAAUUUAUGAAACAAUCAAUUCCAAUCAUGUUUAUUUCCAUGUUUCUCAUGUUAUGUUUCUCGCUUUGUCAAACUGGCUUGUGUGUGUUGUCCAUGUUUAAAUGGUGAGGCAGGUCCCAGAUAAUGUUGUGCUGUGUCAUGCCAAUGGCCAUAAAGACUUGAUAAGACAGUAAAACAGAUCUAGGAUCAGCUAGGAAAUGGCUCAAAUCUAUGUACAUUUUUUUUUCAAAUACAUUGCACUUGUUAUCAUGUAGGAAUGUAUGUACAGUACAGAACACAAUCUCUUCAAUUGUCUACCAGUGAAAUAGCUUCCAAAUUAUUACUGUGGGCAGCAAGACUCGUGUUGUCCCUCAUGGGACACCAUAGGGCUAUCUGUCAGGUUUAUUGUAAUGACCAUGUUGUUAAUAUAAGUUAUAUUCAUCCAGUUCUGUUGCACUGGGUUGAACUAUAGGUAUCGUGGUUUAUUAUAAGACGUUUGGGAUUUUCUUGACUGAGAGGGGAGUUGAGAAUGCAGUGAAUAAUCUUCACUUCUGCAAUCAUUUAAAUGCUUUUAUAUUGAAAAAGCUGUUGCGUUUCAAUGGGACAAAACAAUAUGGCAAUAGCUGGUGAGACCAAAAUAUGACUCCUUCGCUUGGAAUAAACUGUGUUGAAAAUAA